rnacentral:misc_RNA from 1 species
AACCGCCAUAUACGGAACCGUACGUAAGGUGGUGUGAGAGGACGGAGGUUAGUCACCUCCUACUACUCGAU